GGGUUUUUAAACUAACAAAUUUUGUUUGGUUUGAAACAGGUAAAUGGAAUGUCAGUGAAGACCAUAAGGGAAAAUGCAAACUGGGGCAGAAAAUUUUCUUUUCAGUUAGAAAAUUUUCUAGAAAUCAGGUACCCAUUUGGGGAAGAAUAAAGAUAGCACCAAGGAAGUGGUCUUUGAACCAGGGUUUCCCCCAACAUAAUAAGCUUCCAAUGGAGGAAGUUGAUCCCCAGCAGACAGAUCAAAGAGAUGACAUUUGUGCUCAGAAAAGCAAAGAGCCAUUAUCUUCCCCAGCAGCUUCCAGAAGAAUGAAGCAUCGAUUUGAAGGGAUAAAAUUCCCCAGCAGCGUUAUCCUCAACAACGUUAUCCCAAGAAGAUAACACUUUUAUCCCCAGCAGUGUUAAGAAAGAAAAAAAAGAAAAAAAAAUUGAAUUUGAAGGAAGGAAAGAAAGGAGACUCCCCCAGUAGUAUUAUCCCCAGCAAUCAGGCGUCCACCUGGAGAACAAGGAAGAGCAACAGAAGUACUAGAAGUCAGGCGUCCACCUGGAGAACAAGGAUGAGUAAUGGAAGUAUUAGCAAUCAGGCGUCCACCUGGAGAACAAGGAAGAGCAAUGAAAGAAACAGCAAUCAGGCAUCCACCUGGAGAACAAGGAUGAGUAGUUGAAGUAUUAGUAAUCAGGCAUCCACCUGGAGAACAAGGAAGAGCAAUGAAAUAUCAGAAAUCAGGCGUCCACCUGGAGAACAAGGAAGAGCAAUGAAAUAUCAGAAAUCAGGCGUCCACCUGGAGAACAAGGAAGAGCAAUGAAAGAAAC
rnacentral:lncRNA from 1 species